rnacentral:guide_RNA from 1 species
AAACCAAUCAACGAGUAAAUGAUGUAGAGUAUUAUUGUCAAUUAAAUU